AACAAACGCUGGCGGCGUGCCUAAUACAUGCAAGUCGAACGGGGAAAGCUUUCGGGUGAGUACUAGUGGCGCACGGGGGAGGAACGCGUGGAUAAUCUGCCUUAGAGUGGGGGAUAACUAGUCGAAAGAUUAGCUAAUACCGAUUAAGACCACAGGAGCUGCGGCUCAAGGGGUAAAAGGUUUUUCGCUCUAAGAUGAGUCCGCGUAAGAUUAGCUAGUGGGGGAGGUAACGGCUCACCAAGGCGACGAUCUUUAACAGGUCUGAGAGGAUGAUCGGUCACACUGGAACUGAGACACGGUCCAGACUCCUACGGGAGGCAGCAGUAGGGAAUAUUGCACAAUGGAGGAAACUCUGAUGCAGCGACGCCGCGUGAGUGAUGAAGGCCUUCGGGUCGUAAAGCUCUGUCGCAGGGGAAUAACACAAUGAAUGUACCCUGUAAGAAAGGAUCGGCUAACUUCGUGCCAGCCGCCGCCGUAAAAC
rnacentral:rRNA from 1 species